GAUGAACGCUGGCGGCGUGCCUAAUACAUGCAAGUCGAGCGAACGGACGAGAAGCUUGCUUCUCUGAUGUUAGCGGCGGACGGGUGAGUAACACGUGGAUAACCUACCUAUAAGACUGGGAUAACUUCGGGAAACCGGAGCUAAUACCGGAUAAUAUUUUGAACCGCAUGGUUCAAAAGUGAAAGACGGUCUUGCUGUCACUUAUAGAUGGAUGCGCGCUGCAUUAGCUAGUUGGUAAGGUAACGGCUUACCAAGGCAACGAUGCAUAGCCGACCUGAGAGGGUGAACGGCCACACUGGAACUGAGACACGGUCCAGACUCCUACGGGAGGCAGAAGUAGGGAAUCUUCCGCGAUGGGCGAAAGCCUGACGGAGCAACGCCGCGUGAGUGAUGAAGGUCUUCGGAUCGUAAAACUCUGUUAUUAGGGAAGAACAUAUGUGUAAGUAACUGUGCACAUCUUGACGGUACCUAAUCAGAAAGCCACGGCUAACUACGUG
rnacentral:rRNA from 1 species